GGUAUUUUAAUUCCUCUCCAGACGGUUGAUGUGCCUUCGGAUAUCGUUUUCUUUUUUCUUUUUAAGUGUUUUUAAAUUAUUAAAUUAUUUUGAGAGAGAGGCGGGGGAGAGAGAGCACGCGCGCGAGCAAGUGGGGGAGGGGCAGAGAGCGAGGGAGAGACAGAAUCCCAAGCUGACUCUGAGCUGUCAACACAGAGCCUGACGCGGGGCUCGAACUCACAGACCCCGAGCUCACGAUCUGAGCCGAAGUCGAGUCAGAAGCUUGACCAGCCGAGCCCCCCAGGCGCCCCUCAGAGGAUUCUUUUUGAAAGCGGUGCGUCUGUCUGUCUUCGGAGCCCCUGUGAACGAGGCCGUGCCGUUCCGUUGCGUCUACACGUGGACGUGGCCCCGUGGCCUGGUUCCGCCGUCUGCUGCCCUUUGAUGUUGCUGAGCCUGAGGCCGCCCUGAGUUUUGUCCCUCUGAAGGCGAGGCGGACACCUGAAACGCCAGUGCUCACGGUUCCCGUAAAGCGUUCCUGAGGAACGACGAGGACGUUCGGGCGUCUCAGCCAGCAAGUGCCCGUGCGGUCCGGCGUGCAGAUGAGCGGCUGCCCGGGUGUGGCCUUAGCGUGACCUGAGCCAGGACCCCCUCGUCCGACAGCCGGGUGGGGUGCUGAGCCCCUCUGUCCACCUGGGUUUUUAACCGUUUUCUUCCAGGGGGUCCAGAGAGUGUCCGGACCAAGCUGUGCUCCUCGGGGGGCCCCGGCUGGGGGCGGCGGGGGCGCCCCAGGUGACAGGGACGCGGGCCCUGCUGCCUGCUGACUGGCUUUGUCGUGACGGCUUCCGGUUCCGGGGCCUGGGGGGGGGCGCUGUGUCGGGGACCAGGGGCUGCCUGGAUACGUGAUGUCCCGGGAAGCACGUGUAAUGGCCCCGAGUCCAGAUGCCGUGCUUGCACGUGAGGAGACUGAGGCGCGGUGAGGGGGCUGGUUUGCUCAGGUCCUGGAGCACCUGGCGGUGACCGGGUCCCGGGGCUCCUGAGCUCCCUCCGGGCGCGCCCCCUGCCCUCCGUGUCCCCGAGAGAGCGCGAGACCUCUCCCACAGGGCAGCAGAGAACGCCCAGCCGAGCCCUCGGGAGCUCGGCCCGGUUCCUGCUGCCCGGGGAGGCCAGGGCCGCCCGGCGAGUCUUGCUCUGGUAAAUCAAGCUGCAUCCGGGCGAGGAGGCCACAGGGCCACUUCCCGGAAGGGGACGGUCCUGGCGCACUGGGGGACAAGGACCAGAGAGACGGGUGCAGACUCACACGUGCCGUUCCUCGGGGGCGCUGAGGGCAUCCGCCAGUGGACGCUUCCCCAGCAACGUCCCCGUGCCGUGACGGCUCCGGUGAGUUUCCAGGCGCAUCCAGCCCGCACCAGCGGCGGCCGGGUCCCUCGGGCUGGCCCUGAAGACGACUGCGGGCCCCGGGUGGGGCGCUGGGCCGGCACACCCAGACAUGCGCGACAAAUGCCACUGCGUGGUGGCGAAGCCGGGCCGGGCUGGCGACUCCCGCGUGCUUUCGCGCCGAUGGCUCCUGUUCCCUUGUUAAAACUGAAGACACGGGGGACACAGAGAGGUGAAGGGACUUUGUCGAGUGUGCUGUGUGGUCGGGUUGGACUCCCUGUGGCAAGUUGCCCCAGUCGGGCCCCUUCUGAGCCGUGGCCUUGGCUGGUAGCGUUGGGGACCCGGCUCCUGGGGUCAGGCAUGUUCCAGGGUGUGGUGCUCGUGCAGGAGCACUGGGCCGUGACCUCCUGGCCCACCUUGCCCCAGAGCAGGCAGCCACCUGGUAGGUCUGGGCCUGGAGCUGAACCUCGGUCCCCCCAUCCGGCCCACUGGUACACGUGGAAAAGUGGCGUUUGGGGGAAAUGAGUUCUUACUAAGAACUAAAGGAUGGGGCCCCUGGGUGGCUCAGUCGGUUAAGCGUCUGACUCUUGGUUUCGGCUUAGGUCGUGAUCUCACGGUUCGGUCGGGCUCUGUGCUGACUGCUCAGAGUCUGCUUGGGAUUCUCUCUCUCCUUCUCUCUCCCUUCCUCUCUCUGUCUCCCUCUCUCCCCUCCUCGUUCUCUUUGUCUCUUUCUGUCUCAAAAUAAACAAACCAUUUAGAAAGAAGCCAAAAGAAAUAAAGGGAAACAGCAAUCUAGAGAUGGGCGUGUGAACAAAGGGCAGAGGGCUGAUGCUGAGCCUGUGUGGUGCUGACUCCCCACUCACUUCCCCGGGGCUCCCCACGCUGACCCUCCUCCUUCUUUCCCUCUCAGCAUGUCUGGCUGGCCCAGACUUUCCCAGGCCUCCCAGCAGGUCGUCUGGUGUCCUCGGGCCCUCCCAGAAGUUUCUGCACCCCUCCUCUGGCAGUGGGCCCUAAGCACGGGCCCCCUGAGGGGCUGCAGGCGCCCACCCUGAACAAGGAGGACGUGGGUGGCCAGGCAGAGUCUGCCCUGGAGCAGGCUCAGGGGCGCCCUUUAGUGGCCCCAGGCCCAGAGCGGCUUCUCUGCACAACUUGGGACCAGAGCCCUCCCCGCAUGGACCGCCCGUGGUUUUCUAGUUGAAAACCAGCGGGUGUUUGAGGUCUGCACUCAGCAUGUCCUGGAUCUGCAAGCUCGGGGCAGGUGCACGUCGGGGCAGGUUCACACCUGCUGUCCUCCUGUCAGUCUUUCUCCAUGGGCCUCACUGUGGUGACAUCAGUGGGAUUGAACCCCACCAGCUCAGAAAACAGUCCACGCGUGGGGGUAGUGGGCCUGCCCUCGGUUCCUGCCUGCGCUCGGCUCCCUCUGCCCUGUGUCCCCAUCCGGGCCUGGCCUCCCUCGGAUUCCCCGUCGUACGUCCUCCCCUGUGUCUGCUGACCUGUGGGCGCCACCUGGGCUCUCCCCUUCGCUCCUCAACGCUUAGCAAUUCCAAUCCGGCCUCUGCUCCCCUCUCUGCAAAGCCGCUCCCUGAAGGCCCCCGACCAGGGAUGCAGCCAGCAUCAGCGGCCACCCCCUCCCUCCUCCCUCCUCCCUCCACCCUCCUCCCUCCUCCAUCUCCCGCCUCUGGCCCCGCCCUAUCUGUGGUGCCUCCUCCCUCUUCUGGUCCUGGCGGUUCUCUCUCUCCUCUGCUGGCCUCUGCCCUCUCUCUUCCUCUCCCCUGGCCAGUGUGUCCUGAGGUGACGGGGCUGACUUCUGAAUGUUCUUGCUUCUCUGCACGGGUGUCCCACGGGCUCCCCUCGACUGGCCUCAUCCUCGCCCGCAGACCCGCUCCUGCCUGUAGGUGCAUGUGCCGGGUGCCUGUCUCAGACUGGUGUUUGGAAACGUGAUGAAUCGAGAAGGGAAAUACUGUCAAGGAAAAGUCACAAGUUUUUGUCUUUGGGGGUGGUGACUCCAUCACUGGGGACAGGCAGCUCCCUUGUUCUGGGGAAGUUGCCCGAAGGGCGUUCACUGCUGCUCCCGGGACAGAGGGGUGACGGGCCCUGAGCGCGCUUGCAGGGGCCCAGCCCCCCGACGCUUGGGCCAGAGGUCUGCGUCUGAUGCAUGCUCGGUUCUGGGGUCAAUCUGUGAAUUUAACUGCUGUCCGUUCUGGUGUGCAGACUGUGUUCCCAUUCGGCCUCCCGAGGCCAGCGAAGGUGCUGCCCGGGCGCCCCGGGCACACUGACACCUCACCUGCGGGACACUGAGGCCAGGGCGCUGGCCACAGGGCUGUAGUGGCUGGGCCGUGUGACCGUGUGGCUGCCUCCUCACUGGACGGGAAGCAGCGUGAGGUCCGUGGCCCUGCAGCUGUCGCGGGUGCCUUCCAGGGGAAUCGGGAGACAGGAGAUGUGUUAUCAUCCGAGGGACCUCAGAACAGGAGCGCCUCCUCCGGUGGGGGCCGGGGAGGGGGGGGGCUGUGGUUUCUCGGAAGAGGUGUCACCCUGGGAUGGGAGGCUCCAGGUUGGCCUGCGUGUUGGGGAACGUGAACAGGGUGCUCACGAGGCCGCCACGUCCAGGUUUAAAUUUCGUGGCACAGCUUCUGUGGACCCUGCCUCCUUGUCUGCGGACUCACGUGCGUCCCUCCCUUUGCCACGGGCCUGGACCACCUGCCUGCUGGUCGUGACCUCCCGUUUGUGUUUUCUGAACGCGGAAAGCGGCGCACAGAUGUACACACCCAAACGCGGGAGUGCCAAGCGCAGAGGGCAGAGCGCCCCGUGCCGAGUCCCCCAAAUAACCACUAUUCACAAGCGAGCGUCUGCUCUCCCAAAUUCUAUGCACAUACGAGCACACUAUCAUUUCUUUU